rnacentral:rRNA from 1 species
AAGCCUGACAGUACCAGCAGAAUCAGCAUCGGCUAACUCGAUGACAGCAGCCGCGGUAAGACGGAGAUGCAAGCGUAUCCGGAAUGAUUGGGCGUAUAGCGUCCGCAGGUGGCAGUUCAAGUCUGCUGUCAAAGACCGGCGCCUUAACUUCGAAAAGGCAGUGGAAACUGACAGCUAGAGUAUGCUAGGGGCAGAGGGAAAUUCUUGGUGUAGCGGUGAAACGCGUAGAGAUCAGGAAGAACAUCGAGAGCGAAGGCGAUCGCUGGACGAUAACUGCCAGUCAGGGAGUACAGGUAGGUGAGCGAAUGGGAUUAGAUACCCCAGUAGUCCUAGCCGUAAACGAUGGAUACUAGGUGUUGUCUGUAUCGACCCGGACAGUGCCGUAGCUAACUCGUUAAGUAUCCCGCCGGGGGAGUUCGCCCGCAAGUGGAAAACUCAAACGAAUUGACGGGGGCCCGCACAAGCGGUGGAGUAUCACAUGUAAUUGAAUGCAACGUGAAGAUCCUUGCCAGGACUUGACAUGUCGCGAAUCUUGACGAAACCGAGGAUCCCCUUGGGGAGCGCGAACACAGGUGGUGCAUGCCCGUCGUCAGCUUGUGUCUUGUGAUGUUGGGCUAAGUCCCGCAACGAGCGCAACCCUCGUGUUUAGUUGCCAUCAUUAAGAUGGGCACUUUAACCAGACUGCCGGGGACAAACCGGAGGAAGGUGGGGAUGACGUCAAGUCAGCAUGCCCCUUACGUCCUGGGCUACACACGUACUACAAUGGUAGGGACAGAGGGCAGCCAACCCGCGAGGGCGAGCUAAUCCCGUAAACCCUGCCUCAGUUCAGAUUGCAGGCUGCAACUCGCCUGCAUGAAGGCGGAAUCGCUAGUAAUCGCAGGUCAGCAUACCGCGGUGAAUACGUUCCCGGG